CAGCAGCCGGAACCUGUGGCUCUGCAAAAACAUAGGUAACAACUGGGCGUGAGAACUACUGUAAAAACAAGUAGUCCUCAGUGGGUACCGCCCAAAACGACAUCGGUCACCCACUAAGUCUACAGAAGGGAGCAAGGAUAGAAGGAAAAGCAGGAAGUACACUCUACCGCUAUCAUCCACUACACUAUCAUGCUCUACACUAACCAACUGUAGGAAAUGUCAAAUCUGACCCAAUCCAAAUCGGGACUGUAAGCAUACCCGUCCCCGGGACUGUGAAUACACCCGUCCCUGCCCCGUUGCGACUAUCGGGCUCUAUCCACUCUAACUGGUCCGUGGAGAGCAAGUCCAACUGGCAUGAGCGACACCAACGCGAAAGCACAAGCCUGACUCCGGAGUGGCACUCGUGGGCGCUACCCAACCGAGUAUGCAGCGUAUCUCUGUCGAGCUCAAACAGGCUCUGGAAAGCCAAAGUCAAGAAACCGACUCUAAACUGGUCUAACAACCAACAGGUAACGUGCCCUCGGCACAAUCUGACGCCAAAAAGGCGAUACGGGUCCACCGUCAACUCUGACGGCACCCAACAGUCCGAAAUAACCUGAACGACCCGGUAAAAAUCCACUCGGCGAACCAGCACGAGUGUAAAUAUAUUCUAAACUACCUGGAGUACUCGUCUCGACAAUACUGCGACAGUACAAUUUUCUAACGGCUCCUAGAGCUAAAUCAGGCAGUUUAUACAGGUGACAGGUCCAAAUCGCAGGUUUUCUCCUAAUUCAAUUUCCAAGUCCAACAUGUAUAAUCUACUUAAUUUAAAAAAACAUGCUCCAAAAUUCAGAUUUCACAAUCUACAAAUAGUCCAUGAAUUUGAGCUAAAAAUUAAUUACCGAAAUCAAGAUCUAUACAUGUCGACCAAUAAGAACUUAGGAAUAAAGCCGAUGUAACCCACCUAAAAGCUAAUCCCUGGCAGCGAGGGACUCCUCCUGGUGUAGAGCAACCUGCUGGAUCACCCGGAACCCGCCGAGUAUAGAAAUCGCCUAAGCUCGAGCUCUACGCAACAAAAUUCACCAAUUCAGUCCAGAAAUUUCAGCGGUGAGGUACAACAGGGAUUCGACCAAGCUAACCUUCACCAAAUCCAGCAAGUAAGGGCUUCGUGGAUUCCUCUCGAAGUCCUGAAUCCAACAAGCCAAGUCUCGUCGCAAUCCGAUGCUCCUACGUCGAGAACGAGCCAAAAUACCGACAGUCGACGAAGAAAUCUGCAGCAGUGGCACCCGAGCCCGAAAAUGAUGAAAUUGAAGUACUUGGAGGGAUGCCCACAGGUAAAAAUACGACAACCAGUACCUUGAAG
rnacentral:lncRNA from 1 species